rnacentral:rRNA from 1 species
CAAGUCUGGUGCCAGCAGCCGCGGUAAUUCCAGCUCCAAUAGCGUAUAUUAAAGUUGUUGCAGUUAAAAAGCUCGUAGUUGGAUUUCUGUUAAUAAUUUAUAUAAAAUAUUUUGAUGAAUAUUUAUAUAAUAUUAACAUAAUUCAUAUUACUAUAUAUUUUAGUAUAUGAAAUUUUACUUUGAGAAAAUUAGAGUGCUUAAAGCAGGCAUAUGCCUUGAAUACUCCAGCAUGGAAUAAUAUUAAAGAUUUUUAUCUUUCUUAUUGGUUCUAAGAUAAGAAUAAUGAUUAAUAGGGACAGUUGGGGGCAUUUGUAUUUAACAGUCAGAGGUGAAAUUCUUAGAUUUGUUAAAGACAAACUAAUGCGAAAGCAUUUGCCAAGGAUGUUUUCAUUAAUCAAGAACGAAAGUUAGGGGAUCGAAGACGAUCAGAUACCGUCGUAGUCUUAACCAUAAACUAUGCCAACUAGAGAUUGGAGGUUGUUCCUUACUCCUUC